rfam:Populus trichocarpa scaffold_17_contig_306, whole genome shotgun sequence.
GGGUGUGAUCAUACCAGCAUUAAUGCACUGAAUCCCAUCAGAACUCCAAAGUUAAACAUGGUUGGGCGAGAGUAGUACUAGGAUGGGUUACCUCCUAGGAAGUCCUCGUGUUGCACCCC